AGUGAACGCUGGCGGUAGGCCUAACACAUGCAAGUCGAACGGCAGCACAGUAAGAGCUUGCCCUUACGGGUGGCGAGUGGCGGACGGGUGAGGAAUACAUCGGAAUCUACUUUUUCGUGGGUGAUAACGUAGGGAAACUUACGCUAAUACCGCAUACGACCUACGGGUGAAAGCAGGGGAUCUUCGGACCUUGCGCGAUUGAAUGAGCCGAUGCCGGAUUAGCUAGUUGGCGGGGUAAAGGCCCACCAAGGCGACGAUCCGUAGCUGGUCUGAGAGGAUGAUCGGCCACACUGGAACUGAGACACGGUCCAGACUCCUACGGGAGGCAGCAGUGGGGAAUAUUGGGCAAUGGGCGCAAGCCUGAUCCAGCCAUGCCGCGUGGGUGAAGAAGGCCUUCGGGUUGUAAAGCCCUUUUGUUGGGGAAGAAAAGCAGCAGGUUAAUACGCCGAUGUUCUGACGGUACCCAAAGAAUAAGCACCGGCUAACUUCGUG
rnacentral:rRNA from 1 species